UACGGAGUGUGCAAGCGUUACUCGGAAUCACUGGGCAUAAAGAGCACGUAGGUGGGAAGGCAUGUCCGUGGUGAAAUCCCCCAGCUCAACUGGGGAACUGCUUCGGAAACUGCUUUUCUUGAGGACGAGAGGGGAGAGUGGAACUUCUGGUGGAGCGGUGAAAUGCGUAGAUAUCAGAAGGAACACCGGUGGCGAAAGCGGUUCUCUGGGCCUUACCUGACACUGAGGAGCGAAAGCGUGGGGAGCGAACAGG
rnacentral:rRNA from 1 species